GUAGGCUAAUAUGCUGAAGGCUAGCUGUAUUGGGUGCAGAUGAUAAUAUGUAGGGGUAAUAAUAUGCUGAAGGCUAGCUGUAUUGGGUACAGAUGAUAAUAUGUAGGGGUAAUAAUAUGUUGAAGGCUAGCUGUAUUGGGUACAGAUGAUAAUAUGUAGGGGUAAUAAUAUGCUGAAGGCUAGCUGUAUUGGGUACAGAUGAUAAUAUGUAGGGGUAAUAAUAUGCUGAAGGCUAGCUGUAUUGGGUACAGAUGAUAAUAUGUAGGCUAUAAUAAUAUGCUGAAGGCUAGCUGUAUUGGGUACAGAUGAUAAUAUGUAGGGGUAAUAAUAUGCUGAAGGCUAGCUGUAUUGGGUACAGAUGAUAAUAUGUAGGCUAAUAUGCUGAAGGCUAGCUGUAUUGGGUACAGAUGAUAAUAUGUAGGCUAAUAUGUUGAAGGCUAGCUGUAUUGGGUACAGAUGAUAAUAUGUAGGCUAAUAUGCUGAAGGCUAGCUGUAUUGGGUACAGAUGGUAAUAUGUAGGCUAAUAUGCUGAAGGCUAGCUGUAUUGGGUACAGAUGAUAAUAUGUAGGGGUAAUAAUAUGCUGAAGGCUAGCUGUAUUGGGUACAGAUGAUAAUAUGUAGGCUAUAAUAAUAUGUUGAAGGCUAGCUGUAUUGGGUACAGAUGAUAAUAUGUAGGGGUAAUAAUAUGCUGAAGGCUAGCUGUAUUGGGUACAGAUGAUAAUAUGUAGGCUAUAAUAAUAUGUUGAAGGCUAGCUGUAUUGGGUACAGAUGAUAAUAUGUAGGGGUAAUAAUAUGCUGAAGGCUAGCUGUAUUGGGUACAGAUGAUAAUAUGUAGGCUAUAAUAAUAUGCUGAAGGCUAGCUGUAUUGGGUACAGAUGAUAAUAUGUAGGGGUAAUAAUAUGUUGAAGGCUAGCUGUAUUGGGUACAGAUGAUAAUAUGUAGGGGUAAUAAUAUGUUGAAGGCUAGCUGUAUUGGGUACAGAUGAUAAUAUGUAGGGGUAAUAAUAUGCUGAAGGCUAGCUGUAUUGGGUACAGAUGAUAAUAUGUAUAAUAAUAUGCUGAAGGCUAGCUGUAUUGGGUGCAGAUGAUAAUAUGUAGGCUAAUAUGCUGAAGGCUAGCUGUAUUGGGUACAGAUGAUAAUAUGUAGGCUAUAAUAAUAUGUUGAAGGCUAGCUGUAUUGGGUACAGAUGAUAAUAUGUAGGGGUAAUAAUAUGCUGAAGGCUAGCUGUAUUGGGUACAGAUGAUAAUAUGUAGGCUAUAAUAAUAUGCUGAUGGCUAGCUGUAUUGGGUACAGAUGAUAAUAUGUAGGCUAAUAUGCUGAAGGCUAGCUGUAUUGGGUGCAGAUGAUAAUAUGUAUAAUAAUAUGCUGAAGGCUAGCUGUAUUGGGUACAGAUGAUAAUAUGUAGGGGUAAUAAUAUGCUGAAGGCUAGCUGUAUUGGGUACAGAUGAUAAUAUGUAGGCUAAUAUGCUGAAGGCUAGCUGUAUUGGGUACAGAUG
rnacentral:lncRNA from 1 species